rnacentral:RNase_P_RNA from 1 species
UCCGAUCUCCGGGCGAUCGCCGGUGACGCGCGAGCGGCACGGGAGGAAAGUCCGGGCUUCCCAGGGCAGGGUGGUGGGUAACGCCCACCGUUCGCCGCGACCUUUACGGUCAACGUGAACAGGGAAAGUGCCACAGAAAUGACACCGCCGGCCGGCAGGCCUCGAGCCUGCGACGGUAAGGGUGAAAUGGUGAGGUAAGAGCUCACCCGCGACCACGAGAGUGGCCGUGCGAAGGCAAACCCCACCCGAAGGAAGACGAUCGGGGGGCGCGUGGCCCGCGCUCAG